rnacentral:rRNA from 1 species
UACGUAGGGUGCGAGCGUUAAUCGGAAUUACUGGGCGUAAAGCGUGCGCAGGCGGUUUUGUAAGCCAGAUGUGAAAUCCCCGGGCUUAACCUGGGAAUGGCAUUUGGGACUGCAAGGCUUGAGUGCGGCAGAGGAGACUGGAAUUCCUGGUGUAGCAGUGAAAUGCGUAGAUAUCAGGAGGAACACCGGUGGCGAAGGCGGGUCUCUGGGCCGAUAUCGACGCUGAGGAGCGAAAGCGUGGGGAGCGAACAGG